UCCUCCAGUCCCGGAACUGGAGCAGGGUUGGGCCAGCUCUGUACUUGGAUGGAAGACCUCCGAGAGGCUGGGUGCUGCAGGAC
rnacentral:rRNA from 1 species